CUUCAGCGCGCCCAGCCGCACCGGGCGGUCCCGGUCCUGGCCGUAGGUGGCGAUCAGCGCCUGCGCCUC
rnacentral:antisense_RNA from 1 species